rnacentral:rRNA from 1 species
UACGGAGGGUGCAAGCGUUGUUCGGAAUUACUGGGCGUAAAGCGCGCGUAGGCGGCUGUUUAAGUCAUUUGUGAAAGUCCACGGCUCAACCGUGGAAGUGCAUGUGAAACUGGGCAGCUUGAGUACUGGAGGGGGUAGUGGAAUUCCCGGUGUAGAGGUGAAAUUCGUAGAUAUCGGGAGGAAUACCGGUGGCGAAGGCGACUGCCUGGCCAGAUACUGACGCUGAGGUGCGAAAGCGUGGGGAGCAAACAGG